rnacentral:rRNA from 1 species
AUUGAACGCUGGCGGCAGGCCUAACACAUGCAAGUCGAGCGGUAGCACAGAGAGCUUGCUCUCGGGUGACGAGCGGCGGACGGGUGAGUAAUGUCUGGGAAACUGCCUGAUGGAGGGGGAUAACUACUGGAAACGGUAGCUAAUACCGCAUAACGUCGCAAGACCAAAGUGGGGGACCUUCGGGCCUCAUGCCAUCAGAUGUGCCCAGAUGGGAUUAGCUAGUAGGUGGGGUAACGGCUCACCUAGGCGACGAUCCCUAGCUGGUCUGAGAGGAUGACCAGCCACACUGGAACUGAGACACGGUCCAGACUCCUACGGGAGGCAGCAGUGGGGAAUAUUGCACAAUGGGCGCAAGCCUGAUGCAGCCAUGCCGCGUGUGUGAAGAAGGCCUUCGGGUUGUAAAGCACUUUCAGCGGGGAGGAAGGCGAUAAGGUUAAUAACCUUGUCGAUUGACGUUACCCGCAGAAGAAGCACCGGCUAACUCCGUGCCAGCAGCCGCGGUAAUACGGAGGGUGCAAGCGUUAAUCGGAAUUACUGGGCGUAAAGCGCACGCAGGCGGUCUGUCAGGUCGGAUGUGAAAUCCCCGGGCUCAACCUGGGAACUGCAUUCGAAACUGGCAGGCUAGAGUCUUGUAGAGGGGGGUAGAAUUCCAGGUGUAGCGGUGAAAUGCGUAGAGAUCUGGAGGAAUACCGGUGGCGAAGGCGGCCCCCUGGACAAAGACUGACGCUCAGGUGCGAAAGCGUGGGGAGCAAACAGGAUUAGAUACCCUGGUAGUCCACGCCGUAAACGAUGUCGAUUUGGAGGUUGUGCCCUUGAGGCGUGGCUUCCGGAGCUAACGCGUUAAAUCGACCGCCUGGGGAGUACGGCCGCAAGGUUAAAACUCAAAUGAAUUGACGGGGGCCCGCACAAGCGGUGGAGCAUGUGGUUUAAUUCGAUGCAACGCGAAGAACCUUACCUGGUCUUGACAUCCACAGAACUUAGCAGAGAUGCUUUGGUGCCUUCGGGAACUGUGAGACAGGUGCUGCAUGGCUGUCGUCAGCUCGUGUUGUGAAAUGUUGGGUUAAGUCCCGCAACGAGCGCAACCCUUAUCCUUUGUUGCCAGCGGUUAGGCCGGGAACUCAAAGGAGACUGCCAGUGAUAAACUGGAGGAAGGUGGGGAUGACGUCAAGUCAUCAUGGCCCUUACGACCAGGGCUACACACGUGCUACAAUGGCAUAUACAAAGAGAAGCGACCUCGCGAGAGCAAGCGGACCUCAUAAAGUAUGUCGUAGUCCGGAUUGGAGUCUGCAACUCGACUCCAUGAAGUCGGAAUCGCUAGUAAUCGUAGAUCAGAAUGCUACGGUGAAUACGUUCCCGGGCCUUGUACACACCGCCCGUCACACCAUGGGAGUGGGUUGCAAAAGAAGUAGGUAGCUUAACCUUCGGGAGGGCGCUUACCACUUUGUGAUUCAUGACUGGGGUGA